rnacentral:rRNA from 1 species
UACGUAGGGUGCAAGCGUUGUCCGGAAUUACUGGGCGUAAAGCGCACGUAGGCGGCUUUGUAAGUUAGAGGUGAAAGCCCGGGGCUCAACUCCGGAAUUGCCUUUAAGACUGCAUCGCUAGAAUUGUGGAGAGGUAAGUGGAAUUCCGAGUGUAGAGGUGAAAUUCGUAGAUAUUCGGAAGAACACCAGUGGCGAAGGCGACUAACUGGACACAUAUUGACGCUGAGGUGCGUAAGCGUGGGGAGCAAACAGG